GAAACAAAUUACCAGGAAGAAAGGAAGGGAUUUAUUUGUAUUCCUGUGGUGGAGUUCAUGACAACCAAUAUGACAUCCAAUAUGACAGAGCGGUUUCUCUACCUCCAUCAGCCCCAUGAGGACUUCACAAUGACAGUGACUCCAGGGCAGCCACAGAUUUCUGACUAACCAUGAACACAUGCAGAGUGGGAGGAGAAUCUUCCUUAUCUCAGUAGCCUGGACUCCAGCAGGCUGUCUGGGGAUUCAGUCUUUUCCUUUCUGAAAGAAGGCCAUGCUAUUUAAUACUCUAUGUGCAGCAUGGGCUAGACUCUGGUCUUUGAGACCUUGGUGUAAAUUCAGCAUUUCCUCACUGAAGUAACAGGAGUUUCUCCAGAACUGCACUGUUGUAACCUAGAUCAAAGGCUGUGUAACAUGUAUUCAACAGAGACCACACUCCGCUCUCAGUUGCGCCAGUAUAAUGACUUCAGCAGAGUAACUCGGCAUUUCCAGUGGUGUAUAUAUGUGGGUAUAUAAGGAUGUGUGUGUGUUUUUUGUGAUAAAGUAUUUGAACAAGUUAA